AAAAAGAAGAUUUAUUGAAUAGAUUCAUCCAAGUUUCAGAUUGGCUUCUCUCUAAAUUGAAUCCCAAAGUUACUAUUUAUUAGAUAAUUAAGCAUUUAUUGGUUGUGUUUAUACUUCUUAAACAACAAAGCAUGCACAAAUAUUAUCUGUAGCCAUUUAAAAUAGAUGAUAUGGAGGCUAAGUAGAAAUGGGGUAUUUAUAGAUAACAGAGCUAUUUGCAAAGAAUUGUAUCAGCUUCUUGAAAAUCAUCAGGGCAUUGUCUAAUAUUUAGAUAAGCAGAAAAACAAGUGAAUGCUCAAUCAAAUCUAGUUUUGUUAUGUGUCAGGCACCGGGAAUCUUUUUUAAUGAAUUAAUAAUUCUUAGAAUAUCUCCUACAUCCAUACUAACAGGCUGCAUUUUUUCAUUUGUCCUGCUUAUCACAAGUGUGGCUAACUUCAUAUUUGUUUCAACGAUGGAAUUCUUUCAGAGUGUUUUGGCCUUUUAUUCAAUUUGCUGCAAGUUGUAAUGGAAAGCGCACCUCUCUGGAACUCGGGAGUCUUGGAUCCUACACAUGAUUCUAUGCAUAAAUAGAAAUGAAAUUAGCUUCCUGGAUACUAAGCUAGUAUUAAUCAGGUGAUCCUAAUUAAAAUCACUCUGCUAGCUAA
rnacentral:lncRNA from 1 species